UCGGGGUGGAUUAGUGGCGAACGGGUGAGUAACACGUGGGCAAUCUGCCCUGCACUCUGGGACAAGCCCUGGAAACGGGGUCUAAUACCGGAUGACACUCCUCCUCGCAUGGGGAGGGGUUGAAAGCUCCGGCGGUGCAGGAUGAGCCCGCGGCCUAUCAGCUAGUUGGUGAGGUAGAAGCUCACCAAGGCGACGACGGGUAGCCGGCCUGAGAGGGCGACCGGCCACACUGGGACUGAGACACGGCCCAGACUCCUACGGGAGGCAGCAGUGGGGAAUAUUGCACAAUGGGCGAAAGCCUGAUGCAGCGACGCCGCGUGAGGGAUGACGGCCUUCGGGUUGUAAACCUCUUUCAGCAGGGAAGAAGCGCAAGUGACGGUACCUGCAGAAGAAGCGCCGGCUAACUACGUGCCAGCAGCCGCGGUAAUACGUAGGGCGCAAGCGUUGUCCGGAAUUAUUGGGCGUAAAGAGCUCGUAGGCGGCUUGUCACGUCGGUUGUGAAAGCCCGGGGCUUAACCCCGGGUCUGCAGUCGAUACGGGCAGGCUAGAGUGUGGUAGGGGAGAUCGGAAUUCCUGGUGUAGCGGUGAAAUGCGCAGAUAUCAGGAGGAACACCGGUGGCGAAGGCGGAUCUCUGGGCCAUUACUGACGCUGAGGAGCGAAAGCGUGGGGAGCGAACAGGAUUAGAUACCCUGGUAGUCCACGCCGUAANCGGUGGGAACUAGGUGUUGGCGACAUUCCACGUCGUCGGUGCCGCAGCUAACGCAUUAAGUUCCCCGCCUGGGGAGUACGGCCGCAAGGCUAAANCUCAANGGAAUUGACGGGGGCCCGCACAAGCAGCGGAGCAUGUGGCUUAAUUCGACGCAACGCGAAGAACCUUACCAAGGCUUGACAUAUACCGGAAAGCAUCAGAGA
rnacentral:rRNA from 1 species